UACAGAGGUCCCAAGCGUUGUUCGGAAUCACUGGGCGUAAAGGGCGCGUAGGCGGCCUGAUAAGUAGGGGGUGAAAUCCUGCGGCUUAACCGCAGGGCUGCCUUCUAAACUGUCAGGCUAGAGCACGGUAGAGGCAGAUGGAAUUCCCGGUGUAGCGGUGGAAUGCGUAGAGAUCGGGAAGAACAUCAGUGGCGAAGGCGGUCUGCUGGGCCGUUGCUGACGCUGAGGCGCGACAGCGUGGGGAGCAAACAGG
rnacentral:rRNA from 1 species